UGUUCUGUGGCGUAGUUGGUUAACGGCAAGGUUAACGGGCCCUGUCUAGCGAACUUAAAGAGACGUGGGUUCAAAUCCCACUAGAACAA
rnacentral:tRNA from 1 species